AGUGAACGCUGGCGGUAGGCCUAACACAUGCAAGUCGAACGGCAGCACAGUAUGAGCUUGCUCUUACGGGUGGCGAGUGGCGGACGGGUGAGGAAUACAUCGGAAUCUACUUUUUCGUGGGGGAUAACGUAGGGAAACUUACGCUAAUACCGCAUACGACCUACGGGUGAAAGCAGGGGAUCUUCGGACCUUGCGCGAUUGAAUGAGCCGAUGUCGGAUUAGCUAGUUGGCGGGGUAAAGGCCCACCAAGGCGACGAUCCGUAGCUGGUCUGAGAGGAUGAUCAGCCACACUGGAACUGAGACACGGUCCAGACUCCUACGGGAGGCAGCAGUGGGGAAUAUUGGACAAUGGGCGCAAGCCUGAUCCAGCCAUACUGCGUGGGUGAAGAAGGCCUUCGGGUUGUAAAGCCCUUUUGUUGGGAAAGAAAAGCAGCAGGUUAAUACCCCGCUGUUCUGACGGUACCCAAAGAAUAAGCACCGGCUAACUUCGUG
rnacentral:rRNA from 1 species